UUCAAUGUCCUUAUUACAAUAUAAACGAAUAUUUGGGGAAGAGCAAAGAAAUUGAUAUUGAAAGUGAAACGCUCGAUGCAUCGUUUCUCAAUACAAGUUCACAACGCUUUCAAUUCAUCUUCAAUUUCAUCAUCAAUUUCUCUUCUCUUCUCAUCUUCAAUUUUGUCUUCUCCACUCAAAACAUCUUCUUUUCCACUAAACAAAACAUCAACUUCUCUGAUGCAAUCGGUACCUGAACCAACAGUUUCUCUUUUCCCUAACCUGAGGAAGCACAUCAUCAAUUUCAUCUAUUGGAUUUCCAUAUGCACCGUUUCGGUUAUGCUACAGGUUCUUUUUAAUCCUUUUCCUCUGGUGCAGAAUUUCCUGUUGGUUUGGUUGAAUUGUUUGGAAAGUUUAUGAAGCUGUUGUGGUUCGGUUCGGAUUUUGUGGGUAAGAGAUAGAGUUUUCUGCUACAAAGUUCUAUUAUGUGGUGCUGCAAGUAUUUUAUCGCAGGUGCAACUGGAUUGGUCAUGGACAUGUAGCUUUGUUUUGGUUUCAAAGUGAAUUUUUAUUGCUGGUCCGAUUUAAGGUGAAGGGAUGGGUAGUAGUGAAUGAGAUUUGUAACUGCUCGGAGGAAUAAAUCGUUGGUUGAAACAAUAUGUCGAUAAUGAAUGUUGGCAAGUUGGUUGAUGGUUAUCUUGGAGAAAUUGCACACGAUCCAAAUCUCAGCCUCUCGAAUUUUGUUGAUUUAUCACACUCAAUUCCAGAGUUUGAUAGACCAAAUCAUGAUGGUAUAUACAGAGCCAUCGAUAUCUAUUUAAAGGCUUGCGGCUAUGUCGAGACAUUUGAUACUGAUAUGAAUAGUGAUAUAAGUCUGUUAUCACUACUUAGCAGCCCCUUACAAGAAAACCUCGAAAAUUUCAGCAAAGAGAAAGGAAUUCACGUGAGUGCAUGGUCACCUUUAGGAGCUAAUGGAGCUGUUUGGGGUUCACUUGCUGUUAUGGACAGUCCAAUACUCAAAGAAAUUCCAAUUUGGGGUUCACCAUUAGGAGCUAAUAAUAUUGUCAUAAUUUUAAUCAAGUCUCUGACUUAUGCAUUAAUUUGCAAUUUAUUAAAUAUUUUUAUAAAAAAUAU